rnacentral:rRNA from 1 species
GACGAACGCUGGCGGCGUGCUUAACACAUGCAAGUCGAACGGAAAGGCCCUGCUUUUGUGGGGUGCUCGAGGGGCGAACGGGUGAGUAACACGUGAGUAACCUGCCCUUGACUUGGGGAUAACUUCAGGAAACUGGGGCUAAUACCGGAGAGGAGCUCCUGCUGCAUGGGGGGGGUUGGAAAGUUUCGGCGGUUUGGGAUGGACUCGCGGCUUAUCAGCUUGUGGGGGGGGUAGUGGCUUACCAAGGCAUUGGCGGGUAGCCGGCCUGGGAGGGUGGCCGGCCCCAUUGGGCCUGCGAGAGGGCCCAGACUCCUACGGUAGGCAGCAGUGGGGAAUAUUGCCCAAUGGGCGGAAGUCUGAUGCAGCAACCCCGCGUGCGGGAUGACGGCCUUCGGGUUGUAAACCGCUUUCGCCUGUGACGACGCGUGAGUGACGGUACUGGGUAAAGAAGCACCGGCUAACUACGUG